rnacentral:rRNA from 1 species
GCAAGUCGUACGCAUCUUUUCAGCAAUGAAAAAAUGAGUGGCGGACGGGUGAGUAACACGUAAGAAUCUUCCGGAAGGAGAGGUAUAACCUUUGGAAACGAUGGGUAAUCCCUUAUAUGACGUUAGUUGAAAUGGCGCUUCAAUUUAUUGAUGCGUCGCCUUUUGAUGAGCUUGCGUCUGAUUAGCUAGUUGGUGAGGUAAAGGCUCACCAAGGCGACGAUCAGUAGCUGGUUUGAGAGAAUGAUCAGCCACACUGGGACUGAGACACGGCCCAGACUCCUACGGGAGGCAGCAGUGAGGAAUUUUUCGCAAUGGGCGCAGGCCUGACGGAGCAAUACUGCGUGGAGGAUGAAGGCUCGUGGGCUGUAAACUCCUUUUCCUCGAGAAGAAGUUCUGACGGUAUCGGGGGAAUAAGCAUCAGCUAACUGCGUGCCAGCAGCUGCGGUAAUACGUGGGAUGCAAGCGUUAUCCGGAUUUAUUGGGCGUAAAGCGUCUGUAGGUGGCUUCGCAAGUUUGUUGUUAAAUCAUUCAGCUUAACUGAAUUCAAGCAGCAAAAACUACGAAGCUUGAGUGCGGUAGAGGAAGAGGGAAUUCCCUGUGGAGCGGUGAAAUGCGUAGAGAUAGGGAAGAACACCAACGGCGAAAGCACUCUUCUGGGCCUGCACUGACACUAAGAGACGAAAGCUAGGGGAGCGAGUAGGAUUAGAUACCCUAUUAGUCCUAGCCGUAAACGAUGGAAACUACAUUUUGGGGCUCUAUGGCCUUUGGCCAGUAUUCUUCAGAAUGGUAGCUAACGCGUUAAGUUUCCCGCCUGGGAAGUAUGCUCGCAAGAGUGAAACUCAAAGGAAUUGACGGGAGCCCGCACAAGCGGUGGAGCAUGUGGUUUAAUUCGAUGCACACGAAGAACCUUACCAGGGCUUGACAUGUCA